AAAGUAGAUAAAAUAGUUCAGAUAUGCUAAUGCUACCACCUCUGCUCAUUUCAUUUUCAUGUUUGUUUGUUUUUUUCCUUUCUUUUUUAUAUU
rnacentral:ribozyme from 1 species